AGCGAACGCUGGCGGCAGGCCUAACACAUGCAAGUCGAACGAACCCUUCGGGGUUAGUGGCGGACGGGUGAGUAACACGUGGGAACGUGCCUUUAGGUUCGGAAUAACUCAGGGAAACUUGUGCUAAUACCGAAUGGGCCCUUCGGGGGAAAGAUUUGUCGCCUUUAGAGCGGCCCGCGUCUGAUUAGGUAGUUGGUGAGGUAAUGGCUCACCAAGGCUACGAUCAGUAGCUGGUCUGAGAGGAUGACCAGCCACAUGGGGACUGAGACACGGCCCAAACUCCUACGGGAGGCAGCAGUGGGGAAUCUUGCGCAAUGGGCGAAAGCCUGACGCAGCCAUGCCGCGUGGAUGAUGAAGGUCUUAGGAUUGUAAAAUCCUUUCACCGGUGAAGAUAAUGACUGUAGCCGGAGAAGAAGCCCCGGCUAACUUCGUGCCAGCAGCCGCCGUAAUAC
rnacentral:rRNA from 1 species